rnacentral:rRNA from 1 species
UUUCGGGAGAACGGAUCCGCGUUGAGGGAGAAGGCCUUCGGGUUGUAAACCUCUGUUGAGGGGAACGAAUUAUGACGGUACCCCUAAAGAAAGCCCCGGCUAACUACGUGCCAGCAGCCGCGGUAAAACGUAGGAGGCAAGCGUUAUCCGGAAUUACUGGGCGUAAAGCGUUCGUAGGCGGCUUUGUAUGUCGGAGGUGAAAUCCCCAGGCUCAACUUGGGAACUGCCUCCGAAACUGCAGGGCUGGAGCACAUCAGAGGAUGAUGGAAUUCCCGGUGUAGCGGUAAAAUGCUUAGAUAUCGGGAGGAACACCUGUGGCGAAGGCGGUCAUCUGGGGUGUUGCUGACGCUGAGGAACGAAAGCCAGGGGAGCGAACGGGAUUAGAUACCCCGGUAGUCCUGGCUGUAAACGAUGGGCGCUAGGUGCUGGGAGAUUCGACCCUCUCAGUGCCGCAGCUAACGCAUUAAGUGCCCCGCCUGGGGAGUACGGCCGCAAGGCUAAAACUCAAAGGAAUUGACGGGGGCCCGCACAAGCGGUGGAGCAUGUGGUUUAAUUCGAUGCAACGCGAAGAACCUUACCUGGACUUGACAUCCUGCUGAAAGCACUUGGAAACAGGAGCCUCUCUUCGGAGCAGCAGAGACAGAUGGUGCAUGGCUGUCGUCAGCUCGUGCCGUGAGGUGUUGGAUUAAGUUCCGCACGAGCGCACCCCUCGCUGUUAGUUGCCAGCAUUAAGUUGGGCACUCUAGCGGUACUGCCGGCGUCAAGCCGGAGGAAGGUGGGACGACGUCAAGUCAUCAUGCCCCUUACGUCCAGGGCUACCCACGUGCUACAAUGGCCGGUACGACGGGUGCCACCUAGCAAUAGGGUAGCGAAUCCCUUAAAGCCUGUCUCCCUCCGGAUUGAGGCUGCAACUCGGCUACAUGAAGUCGGAUCGCUGGUAACCGUGGAUCAGCUGGCGGGGGUGAUUACGUAUCGGGCCUGGUACAAACCGCCCGGUAAAACAACAAAGUCCGGUAACAACUCGUAGUCCACCAGGCUUACCCCUCUAGGGAGCAGUACCUAAGGUGGGAAUUGGGGUAUGGGGGCAAGUCUGGACAUGGUGUUAUCAUUAAACGAACUUGCAGU